GUGCUUGCUUUGGCAGCACCUAUACUAAAAUUGGAACAAUAUAGAGAAGAUUAGCAUGGCCCUUGUGCAAGGAUGAUGCGCAAAUUCAUGAAGUGUUCCAUAUUAAA
rnacentral:snRNA from 1 species